AGGUAAAGAUGAUUCCAGUCUGAGAGUUCACACCUACAGCAGUAACUACCAUUCUUCCAGAGCCUUCCAUCACAUGUGUACCUGAAAGAUUGCAUCAGGUUUUCCACUGAAACUUCAACAGUUGUACUGCAGAGUAUAAAGGUACCAGGAAGCAGAACAUCAGAAGUACAUAGCAAGGGCUUCUGAAGAAUGAAAAGCAUUUUCUAACAAAUCUAAAGUCAAAGUAUUACCAGUGCCACUUAAAAGAUUAGUAAAUAAGCCUAGCAAAUACAAAAGCAUUUGAAUUUUUAGUAUUUACAAUAAGCAGUUGUGUACAAUUACUGAGCUUGCUACAUCUACCACAUAGCUAGUAAUUUCACAGUUUAUAACAGACAGGCUCAGGCCUGUCAGGUCUAACUACCACAUUGUAUUUUUUAUUAUGUAUUUUAAUUAGGGUCCUUUAUGUGAUUUGGCUUUAAGAUGGAAAAGUACUGAGGAAGUGACUAGCUGAUGCUUUGUCUAAAAGUUAUUUAUUGGAAAUCUAGAAGUAGAUUUUCCUAUAGAAUCGAGAUGAUGUAGAUCUGUGGAAACACUGAUGUUUUGGUGGUCCAUCUCCCCAGAACAUAGGGGGAUUUUACUACUUUUGAUAUUUGUGGAACAACUGCAUUCGUACACAUUUGUACACAUAAAGGACACGACACACGUUAAAUUCUAAGCAGUAAAGUCUGCUCAAAGUGUCUUUUCUAGUAGCACUGGUAAAGGAUAAUUCCCAUUUUUCAUUUCAAGUCAGGUAGAUUUGAUCCACCUUUUGGCUGAAAACCUGUUGCAUUACACUGUCAAUAGCUUCAAAGCAAGAAAUCACACAAGGUGUUCUCAUCCAUUGUAUAGUAUUUCAGAGCUAUUUGUACUUUUGCUAUGAAGCCACUAGUAGUUAUGCAAGUCAGCGUAUUGUGUCAUACAGAAAGCUUCCAAGUAGGAAGCCACGUAGUAAGUCUCCGCAGAUUUAUACACAAGUUUUGACAAAACUAGAACUUCUAUAAUACUGAGCCGUUUUCAUAGUCUUGCAUAUAUUUUCUCCAUUGGAAAUCUCUCCAUUUGUAUUAUUACAACUUGAACUUGACAA